AUGUACCCGGGUCUGCACUGCCUAUUCAUCACACGCGACAAAUGAGCGUUCUCUGAGUGUAUUCCCCGUACCAUAACAAGAUCCACCUGCUAGCUACGACCGAGCGGUCGCGGUAAACGGAAGGUACGGGCGUUAUCCGGAUUUACUGGGUUUAAAGGGUGCGUAGGCAGAACUGUAAGUCCGUGGUGAAAUCUCCCAGCUUAACUCGGAAACUGCCGUGGGUACUGUGGUUCUUGAAUGUUGUGGAGGUUUGCGGAAUAUGUCAUGUAGCGGUGAAAUGCUUAGAUAUGACAUAGAACACCGAUCGCGAAGGCACCAUGCUACGCAAAUAUUGACGCUGAGGCACGAAUUAGAUACCCUGGAACUCGAUUACAUACCCUGGUAGUCCACGCCCUAAACGAUGAUUACUCUCCAUGCGCCAUACACAGUGUGUGUCUGACCGAAAGCAUUAUAUAGUCCACCUGUUAAGUACCACG
rnacentral:rRNA from 1 species